rnacentral:tRNA from 1 species
CGNUCAGUUGGUAGAGCAUCUGAUUUGUAAUCAGAGGGUCGAGGGUUCAAGUCCUUUAGCCG